rnacentral:rRNA from 1 species
UACGGAGGAGGCAAGCGUUAUCCGGAAUUAUUGGGCGUAAAGCGUCCGCAGGUGGCACUUCAAGUCUGUCGUCAAAGACUGGGGCUUAACCCUGGAAAGGCGGUGGAAACUGAAGCGCUAGAGUGCGGUAGGGGUAGAGGGAAUUCCCGGUGUAGCGGUGAAAUGCGUAGAGAUCGGGAAGAACAUCGGUGGCGAAAGCGCUCUACUGGAUCGCAACUGACACUCAGGGACGAAAGCUAGGGGAGUGAAUGGG